GGUGGGACUUUGAAGAAAUAUAGAACGAAGUUGAGACUCGUAAGCUAGCAAUAACGGGAACCGGAAACGCCUAUUGAGAUCCCAAACAGGAAAAACAAAAGACGCGAACGCCAAGCUGGAGAAAGGAGCUUGCGUUAGAGAAAAAAACCGUGUGACUUUACUCGACACACAGUGAGACAGUGAGGGAGGAAAGUAAAGUCUUUUGUACGCAGCGAGAAAACGGGAAGCGGGAAGCUCGACACUUUGAGGCACUGGGCGGCAUUGGGCGGCACCUUGACCCUCUCUCAAGUAUUCAUGCGGGGAACAGACCUGAGGGGACGCGUGUACCUGAGAGGGACGGGGCAGGUGGGGUGCAGCAAGGUGAGAAGAGCUGUUUUCACCACUUGCUCUGAGGAACUACAAAGCAUCACAGCCGCCGUGUCUUGAGCUGAUGAAAGAUGUAGCAGCGUGGAGGCAAGGAGGGUGACGAAGGGGCAGAAGGAGGAGGGGCCCUGCACUCGACCCAUCCUGCUAGGAAGAGGAGGCAGGAAGCGUCCCACGUCACCGGGCCUUGCACCAGGUGGCCGGAGGGAGGCGGGAAUGAAGACCGUGCGGAGGAAGCGUCUAGUCAGUGUGAUGAAAGAUGAUGAAGACUUCGUGACUCUCUUCAAGUGACUCCCUUUCAAAACCUUUCUUCACACCACCAACUCGAGUCUUCUUCUGCCAUCCCGAGCAACAUUUCCUGGCUGGUUGCCGGACACGAGGCGGGCUGACUCCUUCCUGGAUCUGUAUUAAGACGAUUGGGAAGCAUAUGAAGCGUGCCGCGUGCUUCAUUAAACCCACCUGUCUUUCCCGGAAGCCUCGUCAUCAGCUUUCAGAAAUAGUCGUCAUGAAGGUUCAGAGUGUUCAAAGCCUUGAGUUGCUCGGAAAGUUGAACCACCGCCCUCUCCGGCUUCCGGUCAGAGCGUCGCAGCUUGCUACGGGCGGCGGUGGCUGUGUUAGGUGUUCUGUCAGCUCCGUGAACCACCUGGGCGUAUUGCUGAAGUCACCGGAGCCACCCCUUGAGAGCCACACCUGAUGACCUGAGUGUUUUAAUGUUGCACGGAGGAGCUCAUUUGUUAUCACAUGCAGCACACCAUGAGAACUGGCCGAACAUGAUCAAAUCUGGAAUCAUCAGUAAUCAACAUGCAGCAAGAAAGAAGAGAUCAAAUAACAUAACAGAUACAGGAUGGGAUCAGUUGAAUGCUGCUAGACUGACAGCAUGGAGAGAGUAUCUUUAAUAACAUGGUUGUAAACAUAAGUGUGGUUGGGUCUGAGAAGAGAAAGUACAUUUGUUUCAUUAGAGUAACGGGUUUCACAGUCAAUGUCACGCAUUCAAAUGUAACUACAUUUUGUUUUGUCCAAUGUCGCCAGCCAACAUCGUUAAUGAGCGUCAUGCAAAAAUGGUAUUUCAAGAAAUUUUUGCCAGAGACCAAUUCCACAUAUUAAGUCUGUUAAGCUUCAGCAAUCUAUUAUCUACAACAAUACCAUUAUUAUUAAUUAACAUGUGAUGCUUGCUGACUGCUUGGACAAUCACCAAAAACUAUAGAGAAUUCUUUAUAUACUUUUACUGACAAAAAAAUCAAUAUUAUCUAUAAAGUAUUGCAGUUCAGACCAAGCCACUAUCUCCCUCUGGACAAAAAAAUAUUAUUUGCCUCCCUCCCUGCAAAAAAUAAAGGCUAUAUAUAUAAUAUUAUACAAUGCUCAUGUUAAAAAAAUUCCUUAAAAAUUUAUUUUACCAAAUGUUUGUUUGUCUGAAGGCUGUGACUUAGUUAGCUUUCAGGCAGUUAGCUUUCAGGCAAACAUUUUAAGCAUUUUGGUAAAGUUUAGGAAAUUAGAAUCUGCUCAACACCUAGUCUUUUUAUUCUGCAUGGAGAGGCAGAUUUGUCCAAAGGCCGAUGAUGGCUUCUUGGUCUAUACUGCAUUGUUUAAUAGAUUCCAUGUCUACAAAAAUUCUAUUGUUAAAACAAAGUAUAAAGAAUCCUUACCAUUUGUGGACAGUCAUGUAAGAUAAAUUAACAAAGCUAUCCAACAAACAUCUCAGCAGGAGCAGUGUAACGUUAAACAACAACCUUCAUGCAUGUCACACAUUAACAUUUUUAGAACACCUGUGAUUUUUGUUGUUCCUCCUCCUCUUCUCUUGUACUUGUUGUGUUGCUCGCCUUCCUCCCUCCACCUUUCUUCUCUUGUACACGUUGUUGUUGCUCAUUGUCGUCCUCUCUCUCCUCGUACGCAUUGCUCCUCCUCGCUCCACCUUUCUUCUCUUGUACACACGUUGUUGCUCGUUGUCGUCCUCUGUCUCCUCAUACGCAGUGCUCCUCCUCCUCUUCUCUUCUUGUUCAUGUUGUUCAUCCUCCGAAACUCCUCCUCUGCUCCUGAAAAUCGACAUCAUCAUGGCUACAGGGUUUACUUACUGUUCCACCAUUUUUUUUUUUUUUGAAAGCUCUCUGUAACAAGACCAUAUUGUAUCAGGAUUAUGUUGAAGAUUGUUCUGGACCUAGUAGUCAUUUCCCUUCUGUGUUACAUUGUUUCACCUCCAAGACCACUUUGAUCCCUCCAUAGGUAUGUGCCUUCCACCUCAAAGUUGGCACCACCACUCCUGCUACACUGACAGCAUUGUUGUGUGAAUCUAUGAAUCUGUUACUUUA